CCCUGUCCCCCAAGGCUGGAUCGGACCGUGAUUUGAAGAGAUUUGAUGACAUCAGUUAUGACAGCUUUCUGGGUCUGAUGGGACGGAGAAAUGCUGCUCUGACAAACAGGGACACUGAUCACAGCCUUGCUGAUCUGUUGGGGUGGAGAACAAGUAUGACUAGUCUGCGUGAAAACAGGUAUGCAGAAAAGAGGAGGCGGUUUCACUGAUGAUGGAAGGCAUAGGAUGGAACGCUUUGUUUAAUGGACACAUGACACAUACUUGUAUCAUGAACCCUCAUGGUGAAACUUCGGCUUUUCCAUCGCGCUGUAAAC